rnacentral:rRNA from 1 species
CCGAAAGACGAGUGGCGAACGGGUGCGUAACGCGUAUGCAAUCUGCCUUUUACUAGGGUAUAGCCCAGAGAAAUUUGGAUUAAUCCCCUAUAAUAUCAUUUAAUCGCAUGAUUUUAUGAUUAAAGCUUCGGCGGUAAAAGAUGAGCAUGCGUCCUAUUAGUUAGUAGGUGAGGUAACGGCUCACCUAGACUCCGAUGGGUAGGGGUCCUGAGAGGGAGAUCCCCCACACUGGUACUGAGACACGGACCAGACUCCUACGGGAGGCAGCAGUGAGGAAUAUUGGACAAUGGACGAAAGUCUGAUCCAGCUAUGCCGCGUGCAGGAUGACGGCCCUAUGGGUUGUAAACUGCUUUUAUACAGGAAGAAAAACUCCGACGUGUCGGAACUUGACGGUACUGUAAGAAUAAGGAUCGGCUAACUCCGUGCCAGCAGCCGCGGUAAUGCGGAGGAUCCAAGCGUUAUCCGGAAUCAUUGGGUUUAAAGGGUCCGUAGGCGGUUUUUUAAGUCAGAGGUGAAAUCCUGCAGCUCAACUGUAGAAUUGCCUUUGAUACUGAAAGACUUGAGUUAUUGUGAAGUGGUUAGAAUGUGUGGUGUAGCGGUGAAAUGCAUAGAUAUCACACAGAAUACCAAUUGCGAAGGCAGAUCACUAACAAAAUACUGACGCUCAGGGACGAAAGCGUGGGUAGCGAACAGGAUUAGAUACCCUGGUAGUCCACGCCGUAAACGAUGGAUACUAGCUGUAUGUCUACUUCAGGUAGAUGUGUGGCU